CAGCGCCACGAGUGGUAACCGCGAUUAUUGGGCCUAAAGCGUCCGUAGCCGGGUUGAUAAAUCCUUUGUGAAAUUGUGCGGCCCAACCGAACAACGUGCAAGGGACACUGUUAACCUCGAGACCGGGAGGAGUCAGAAGUAUUCCUGAGGGAGCGGUAAAAUGUUAUAAUCUCAGGAGGACUACCUGUGGCGAAGGCGUCUGACCAGAACGGAUCUGACGGUGAGGGACGAAAGCCAGGGGAGCGAACCGGAUUAGAUACCCGAGUAGUCC
rnacentral:rRNA from 1 species